rnacentral:rRNA from 1 species
CAGCAGCCGCGGGAAUACGAAGGGGGCUAGCGUUGUUCGGAAUCACUGGGCGUAAAGGGUGCGUAGGCGGGAUCUUAAGUCAGGGGUGAAAUCCCGAGGCUCAACCUCGGAACUGCCUUUGAUACUGGGGUCCUUGAGUCCGGAAGAGGUGAGUGGAACUGCGAGUGUAGAGGUGAAAUUCGUAGAUAUUCGCAAGAACACCGGUGGCGGAGGCGGCUCACUGGUCCGGAACUGACGCUGAGGCACGACAGCGUGGGGAGCAAACAGGAUUAGAUACCCCGGUAGUCCCUGUCUCUUAUAA